rnacentral:lncRNA from 1 species
UUCUUAUGCCCUAUGUGGCAGAAGUUCACUGGUCAGUUUCCGUCGCCCCUCCAGCGUGUAGGAGUAGGACACGUGUUAACCAUUCUCAGCAUGGCUGUUUCAGCAGUGAUGGAGUCCAAAAGGCUCAAAAUAGUGCAAGAACACCACCUCCAAGACCAGCCUGGUACUAUUGUUCCAAUGUCGAUCUUUUGGCUUUUCCCACAGUUAGUUUUGAUAGGCAUUGGAGAAGCAUUUCAUUUUCCAGGACAAGUUGCAUUGUAUUAUCAAGAAUUUCCCAUGUCACUGCGAAGCACAUCGACGGCCAUGAUCUCAUUGAUUAUUGGGAUUGCAUAUUAUGUAAGCACAGGUGUGGUUAAUAUGGUCCAAAGGGUUACUGGAUGGUUACCAAACAAUCUAAACAAUGGGAAGCUGGACAAUGUUUAUUGGAUGCUAGCUGUGCUGGGGGUGAUAAACUUUGGCUAUUAUUUGGUGUGUGCUAAGUUGUACAAGUAUCAAAAUGUAAAGGGUGCAGAAGGUAGUCCUGAUCCAGAUAGCUAGUGAUAAGUGAUUAGAGUUGGUUGGUGAUUAAAGAAAUUAUCUGGGUCAUAAGACUUGGCGCAAACCGAGAACAGUGGCGUUGCCAACCCCACUUAAUUAGUGAAAUAAGGCUUUGUUGUUGUUGUUAUUGUAUAAGUUGUCUCAUAUGUCCCAGCUUUUACAAGUAUUGAGAUCGCAAUAAACAUAAUUUGAACCAAAGAGUGUCUUAUAUGCAAAACACAUAGUGAGAACUUCUCUCCUUCCAUGAGAGCCCUUCUCUCCUUCUAUGAGAGUUUCCUCCCUUCCUUUUGGUGAGGGUCUUCAUCUUGCCCACCUUCUCAGGCGCCGACUCUGGCUUUGGCUGGAGUCGGUUGCCACUCUUCUCUUCCUCCUCAUGUUUUCUCCUCUCCGCCCCUUCUCUGUCUUGUCCUCUUUCUUCUUCUUCUUCUUCUUCUUCUUCUUCUUCUUCUUCUUUUCCCUGAUCUCCUUUCCUAUCUGGCCAUUUUUCCUACCCCCAGCGGCGUUUCUCAUUGCUCCCCUCUGCUCCGAUUUGUAGCCGCUUCAAAACGCGUAUUAUUGCGGUUCUUCGAGAUGGUGUGUAGAGUUCGGGUGUUCAACACCACCACGUUCUCAUUGUCUCUACCUUUAUCGGCAGUGUUGUUCGUGGGUUGCCACAAACUUCAUCUUGAUAGUUGGCUUCUUCUGAUCACUUGUUGUCUACCCUUUCUUUGUGGUUGUGGUCGGGGCAUUAAUUCGAUGUGAGAUGUUGCAAUUGAUCUGGCGCUACUUGGCUGUGGACGAGGACUUGGUCGGAUCGAGAACUUACUGGUUGGCCUUUUGUAGUUUGUCUUUUUUGGUCCGUGUUUUACUUGCUUAUGUGUGUUGUUUGGGCCUUGGGUUUCCUUUUGUGUAUCUUUUCGUUGUAAUAAAUGUGAAGAAGCCUUUUUCCAAAAAAAAUAAUAAAAGAGUGUCUUAUAUGCAUUUAGACUAAAAAUUUUUAAAACAACUGAGGUCAAAAGAUUUUAUUUUUGCUUUUCCAAAAUGUAAUAGGGCAGUACAUUUAGUGCGUCUUUUGUUUCACGUGUGGAUAACCGUCAUAGAUGGGAAGAGAGGCUGGCUAUGGCGUUUGAAGCUAAUGUAAACAAUUUGAAUUCAUAUGAAAAGUGUCUUAUAUGCAAUUAAACUAAAUCGUUGUAUUAAAAAAAAGUCAAAUAACAUAUAAAUCUGAUAGUAUACACUAUUUACCAAAAAAGAAAAAAAUAAGACAUAUACAACCAACCUGCCUUUGUUUGUCUAACAAAAAACUUAUGAAAUUGAGAUUCUACCAUAAAACUAAUUGGCAAUAUAGGGAGUAACCCAAGAUCAUAUAAGCACAUAGCAAACUUUGUCCCUCACUAAUAUGGGACAACUCUCAACACGCCCCCACACGUGUGGCAGAUUUUCAAGCCUACACGUGGACAACACCUGGGUGAAGUGGAGCGCGUGUGGCCGUUAGACUUCACACGUACUUGGCUCUGAUACCAUGAUGAAAUUGAGGUUCCACCAUAAAACCAAUUGGCAAUAUGGGGAGUAGCUCAAGAUCAUAUAAGCAGAUAGCAAACAUUAUCCCUCACCGAUGUGGGACAACUCUCAACAAAAACUUCAUCUAGUCUAUACAACAAGCUAAUUUUGACCCUGGAUGCUUGAUGAAUUGUUAUCUAUUUUUCUUCAGACUAGAACAACAACAACAACAAAGCCUUUUCCCACUAAGUGGGGUCGGCUAUAUGAAUCCUAGAACGCCAUUGCGCUCGGUUUUGUGUCAUGUCCUCCGUUAGAUCCAAGUGCUCUAAGUCUUUUCUUAAGGUCUCUUCCAAAGUUUUCCUAGGUCUUCCUCUACCCCUUCGGCCCUGAACCUCUGUCCCGUGGUCACAUCUUCGAACCGGAGCGUCAGUAGGCCUUCUUUGCACAUAUCCAAACCAUCGUAACCGAUUUUCUCUCCUCUUUCCUUCAAUUUCGGCUACUCCUACAUUACCUCGGAUAUCCUCAUUCCUAAUCUUAUCCUUUCUCGUGUGCCCACACAUCCAACGAAGCAUCCUCAUCUCCAUUACACCUACGUGUUGAUGCUUCACCGCCCAACAUUCUAUGUCAUACAGCAUUGUCGACCUUAUUGUCGUCCUAUAAAAUUUUCUCUUGAGCUUCAGUGGCCUACGACGGUCACACAACACGCCGGAUUCACUCUUCCACUUCAUCCAUCCAGCUUGUAUUCUAUGGGUGAGAUCUCCAUUAAAUUCUCCGUUCUUUUGCAAGAUAGAUCCUAGGUAGCGAAAACGGUGGCUCUUUGGUAUUUCCUGAUCUCCGAUCCUCACCCCUAACUCAUUUUGGCCUCCGUUUGCGCUGAACUUGCACUCCAUAUAUUCUGUCUUUGAUCGGCUUAGGCGAAGACCUUUAGAUUCCAACACUUCUCUCCAAAGGUUAAGCUUCACGUUUACCCCUUCCUGCGUUUCAUCUAUCAACACUAUAUCGUUUGCGAAAAGCAUACACCAAAGAAUAUCAUCUUAAAUAUUAAGUUUGUGAUCUUCGCUAGAUUGCUCCGGUCAUUAGUGUGGAUAAGUAUGUAAAUGGAUAGAGACAGGAAGCAAACACAAAAUGUACGUGGUUCACCCAGAUUGGCUACGUCCACGGAGUAAAGGAGUUCUCAUUAAUUGUGAAGGAUUUACACAGUAUAUAGGUUCAAGCUCUCCUUUAGUGAGUACAAGUGAAUGAUUUAGUACAAAUGACAUUAGGAAAUAUUGUGGAAGAAUGAUCUCGUAAUCAUGAAACUUUUAAGUACCAAAGUGUGGUAUCGUCUUCACUUGCCUUAUCUGUCUCAUAGGUAGAUGUGGCAUCUUCUUUGGAAGUACUCUUCCUCCCUCCAGGGGUGGUAUCUUUAACUGGUGGAGAUGCACAAGGUAAUGUAUCAAUUUCACUUGACGCUUACUUGUAGUUUCAGGCUUGGUCAAGCGCGAUACAAACCAUGUAGUAGGAGUCCCCCAAGUCGCCGAGCUAGGGGAUCUGCUGAAAGAAGUGACAGACAAGGUAAGUAAUCAGAGCUCCAAGCAAUCAGUCCCAGAUCAGAAGUUUGAUUUCGAGUUCCGGCUGAUUGUUAUCCUUCUCCUUAUCUUGCAGGUAGCAUAAAGGAUAAAGAGAAGAAAAUGAGAAAAUGUGAUGUGAGAUACUUUUGCUUUUGAAGAAGUAACUUUCCACAGGCUUAUUCUUGAACUGGGCUGGAGGGUUUUCUUGUUUCCGCCAGAGUAUAAAGCCGACUGAAGAAUUUGAGGGUCAAAACAAGUCAUCAAAUUUAGAGUACGUUCGACCCUGCUGAUAUGGGAUACUUUUUCUGUUGACAAAGUAGUGGAUGUAUCGGCACGUGUUCUAUUGCGCUUGUCUCCACAUGCUUCCUUGUAUCCUUCUCACUUGCCCUAUUUGUUCCUCAGGCAGAUGUGGUAUCUUCUCGGGAAGCAUAAGAUGUUGAAGAUGAGUACUCGAGAGCAAUGGGGUUCUAGGCAGUCAGUUCCGGACUGGAAGCUUGAUUCCAAGUGCUGACUGAUUGCUCUAUUUCUCCUUGUCUUGCAGGUAAGAACAAGGCCAAAGGAAAAGACAGGGAAAAAGCAUGAUAUGGGAUACUCUUGCUUUUAACCCUGAUGAUAUGAGAUAUUCUUGCUCUGGUGUAGCUUGUUUGCAGAGGUAUUCUCGGGGGGAAAGAAAGCUGAGUAUUUCGAGAAGCGUCGUUGGGAGUGCCCUCUCAGAUAUGAGGAAGGGUUGAGCAUUUUUGCAGGUCUGCCUGUCCGUUGAGGAUGGAGGUCGACAUAUAUAGGAGUCUCCCUAACAAGAAGGAGUAAUACUAUUCUUUUACCCUGCUUGGUCAUAACACGGUAGUGGGAGCUGCCAGCUUCACGUGUUUUAACUCUGUCAGAACACUUUGAAAAAGUGGUCUGUGGUAUCUGGAAAGCUGAUGUUACGUGUGAAGAUUACAGACAAGCUUUAUCCAAGGAGAUCUGGCUCUCGAAGUUGAGAAAGCGAUGUAAGGAUUACAGACAAGCUUUAUCUAAAGGGCUCUCGAAGUUGAGAAAGCGGUGCCUCUUCGGUUUUCGAACAAGCAAUCCUGUCGGGGAUCUGUCUCUCGAGAUUCGGAGAACGGUGCAUCUUCAAUUUUUGAGAAAGCAAUCCUGCUAGGAGUCUGGCUCUCAAGAUUCGGAGAACGGUGUCUCGUCGCUUUUUGAGAAAGUAAUCAUGUUGGGAGUCUGGCUCUCGAGAUUCGGAGGACGGUGCCUCUUCGAUCUUGAAGCAAGCAAUCUUGUUGGGAGUGUUUUCUCGAAUGUGAGUAAAGGUUAGGCCUGUUUGCUAGUCUACCUUGCCACGGAGCACAGAGGUUGACACACAGGGACUUUCCAAUUAUCCAGCAGUGGUCAUGUUCCUUGACCCUUGUGGGUAAUAAUAUGGUAGCUAGACGCCUCUUCGAUUUUUGAGAAAGCAAUCCUGCUAGGAGUCUGGCUCUCAAGAUUCGGAGAGCGGUGUCUCGUCUCUUUUUUAGAAAGUAAUCAUGUUGGGAGUCUGGCUCUCGAGAUUCAGAGGACGGUGCCUCUUCGAUCUUGAAGCAAGCAAUCUUAUUGGGAGUGUUUUCUCGAAUGUGAGUAAAGGUUAGGCCUGUUUGCUAGUCUUGCCUAGUUGCUACUUGCCACGGAGCACAGAGGUUGACACACAGGGACUUUCCAAUUAUCCAGCAGUGGUCAUGUUCCUUUACCCUUGUGGGUAAUAAUAUGGUAGCUGGACGCCUCUUCGAUUUUUGAGAAAGCAAUCCUGCUAGGAGUCUGGCUCUCGAGAUUCGGAGAGCGGUGUCUCGUCGCUUUUUGAGAAAGUAAUCAUGUUGAGAGUCUAGCUCUCGAGAUUCGGAGGACGGUGCCUCUUCGAUCUUGAAGCAAACAAUCUUGUUGGGAGUGUUUUCUCGAAUGUGAGUAAAGGUUAGGCCUGUUUGCUAGUCUACCUUGCCACGGAGCACAGAUGUUGACACACAGGGACUUUCCAAUUAUCCAGCAGUGGUCCUGUUCCUUUACCCUUGUGGGUAAUAAUAUGGUAGCUAGACCUUCAAAAUUUAUGUGUCUAAACUUUGUUAGUGAUGUUUCUUUGCUAUUCUUUUACCCUUCUUGGUCAUAGCGAUGUAAUGGGAGCUGCAAGCUUCACGUGUCUAAACUUUGUCAGAGAUUUUUGGCAAAGUUAUCUGUGGUACCCGUGAGUUGAUGUUGCGUGUGGAAAGUGGAUGAUUGAACAGUAACAUUCACGUGCUUUCUACUUCACCAGAAAUCUUCGACAGAAUGCCUGUAAUUUCCGCAAAGUUGAGUGUGCAUGUGACAGGUGCUGACAAGGCUGAAAAAGCAGGUGCCUCUUCGAUUUCUGAGAUCGGCCCUCGUGGUCUUUGAGCAGCUUAGCUUUUGAGAAAGCAAGCGCCUGUUCGAUUUCUGCGAUCGACCUUCGUGGUCUUUGAGCAGCCCAGUUUUUGAGAAAGCAAACGCCUUUUCGAUUUCUGAGAUCGGCCCUCGUGGUCUCUGAGCAGCCCAGCUUUUGAGAAAGCAAACGCCUUUUCGAUUUCUGAGCAGACGCCUCUUCGAUUUCUGAAGCUUCAUUGAGUGCAGAUUUUUAUAAAGGCUGGUAUUAAGUUCCAAAGCACACUUGAAUCUCCACCAGUAGAAGCUCCCUUCUUGCAUUUCUAAGAUCUUGAUUUGUCCGACCUCUUUUCUCUUCAACACCUUUGAAAAUGUCUGGCCCCUCCGACCGUCGUUUUGACUUGAACCUUGUUGAAGAGGCAGCCACACCUUCUCCAGACAACAUAUGGUGCCCAUCCUUCUUAUCCCCUACUGGUCCUCUUACCGUUGGGGAUUCCGUGAUGAAGAAUGAUAUGACCGCUGCGGUGGUGGCCAGGAACCUUCUCACUCCCAAAGAUAACAGACUACUUUCCAAACGGUCUGAUGAGUUGGCUGUUAAGGAUUCUCUGGCUCUCAGUGUUCAGUGUGCAGGUUCUGUGUCUAAUAUGGCCCAACGCCUAUUUGCUCCAACCCGCCAAGUUGAAUCAUUGGCGGAUGAAGUGAUGAGUCUCAAACAGGAGAUUAGAGGGCUCAAGCAUGAGAAUAAACAGUUGCACCGGCUCGCACAUGACUAUGCUACAAACAUGAAGAGGAAGCUUGACCAGAUGAAGGAAUCUGAUGGUCAGAUUUUACAUGAUCAUCAGAGGUUUGUGGGUUUGUUCCAAAGGCAUUUAUUGCCUUCAUCUUCUGGGGCUAUACCGCGUAAUGAAGCUCCAAAUGAUCAACCUCUGAUGCCUCAUCCUUCUAGGGUGCUGUCCAGUACUGAGGCUCCGAAUGAUCCCCCUCCGGUGCCUUAUCUUUCUGGGGCUCUGCCUACUGCUGAGACUUCUCCUAAGCAACCUUUGUGAAGGCUCCCUCUUGUUUGUUUAUUUUGACUCGUGUAUAUGUACAUAUUUGUAACUUCUUAGAGAUAUCAAUAAAUAAGCUUUGUUUCAUUUCAACGUAUUGUGUUAAAUACACCAAAGCUUUUCACUAAGUUCUUUGAAUUUUUCUUUUGUUGAAGCUUGUAUGUUGAAGCUUGUAUGUUAAAGCUUUGUGAGUGGAGCAUGUAGGUUGAGGUAGUGUUCCCUUAAUUUCCCGAGUGGGGAAAACUUCUCGAUUGGAGACUUGAAAAAUCCAAGUCACUGAGUCAGGUCGGCUAUAUGAAUCUUAGAACGCCAUUAUGCUCGAUCUUGUGUCAUGUCCUCUGUUAGAUCCAAGUACUCUAAGUCUUUUCUUAGAGUCUCUUCCAAAGUUUUCCUAGGUCUUCCUCUACCCAUUCGGCCCUGAACCUCUAUCCCGUAGUCGCAUCUUCUAACCGGAGCGUCAGUAGGCCUUCUUUGCACAUGUCCAAACCACCGUAACCGAUUUUCUCUCAAUUUUCCUUCAAUUUUGGCUACUCCUACUUUACCUCGAAUAUCCUCAUUCCUAAUCUUAUCCUUUUUCUCGUGUGCCCACACAUCCAAGCCACUUAGCAUUCUCUUCAUCCAGCCGCAUCACUCUCCAUUCCCUCACUGCCCUUUUUGUGUACGUUUUUGAUUCAUUCAUUCGCUCCCAACCUUUUUGCCAUAUCAGCAUCGAAACGCCGGUUAUUUCCUUAUUGCAUCGUCCUUAUUUUAUAACUGAAGCAUUUCCAUAUAUUCCCGUUAAGCUUUCAGUGGCAUACGGCGAUCACACAACGCCAUCAUGCACACUUCCACAUCAUAUCACACUUGUAUUCUAUGGUUCUAUGGUUAGAUCUCCAUCUAAUUCUCCGUUCUUUUGCAAGAUAGAUCCUAGGUAGCGAAAACGGUGGCUCUUUGGUAUUUCCUGAUCUCCGAUCCUCACCCCUAACUCAUUUUGGCCUCCAUUUGCACUCACUGUCUUUGAUCGGCUUAGGCGAAGACCUUUAGAUUCCAACACUUCUCUCCAAAGGUUAAGCUUCGCAUUUACCCCUUCCUGAGUUUCAUCUAUCAACACUAUAUCGUCUGCGAAAAGCAUACACCAAGGAAUAUCAUCUUGAAUAUGUCCUGUUAACUCAUCCAUUACCAACGCAAAAAGGUAAGGACUUAAGGAUGAGCCUUGAUGUAAUCCUACAGUUAUGGGGAAGCUUUCGGUUUGUCCUUCAUGAGUUCUUACGGCAGUCUUUGCUCCUUCAUACAUAUCCUUUAUAGCUUGGAUAUAUGCUACUCGUACUCCUUUCUUCUCUAAAAUCCUCUAAAGAAUGUCUCUUGGGACCCUAUCAUACGCUUUUUCCAAAUCUAUAAAGACCAUGUGUAAAUCCUUUUUCCCAUCUCUAUAUCUUUCCAUCAAUCUUCGUAAGAGAUAGAUUGCCUCCAUGGUUGAGCGCCCUGGCAUGAAUCUUGUGUACUGGGCAAAUCUUGUGUGCAACCGCUUUAUCUUGUCCAUAGCCGUUCCGGGUUGUUUUGUUGGGGUUGGCUGCUAGAGCCGUUCGAGUCUUGUGACUGGUUCCGUCCCUGCUUAUUCUGACAUGGCUUAUAUCGCCUGGCUUUAACAUCUUUCCCAUUAACUGAGAAUUUGACUUUGCCUUCAUGGUCCGGUUUAUCAAGAAGUCUUGUAGCGUCUGACGCAGACUUAACAACAACUUGAGCAAACAAUGAUUGGUCAAUUGGAUGAACAGGCUUCUUCAUAAAGACUGACUCUAUACAAUCUCCAAAUUUCGUGCAUAUACGUGAUGAGUUAAAAUAGUUAAUCCAGAUAUUGUUGAAGCUGAUAAUAAUAAGUCAAUAUAUAGUAAAGCUAUAUAUAUAUCUAGACACGUAAAACUGAUCAUAAGUCAUACCACCGCAACUAAUUAUAUGUUGUGCCAUCUCUAAAUUAAUUAGCGAUUCGACAAUUUAUGGUUAGUUAAAAUGGUACAAACUAUUUAGAUUUCACAAUCGGGCAACAAUCCACUACUAAUCACAUGAUAUUAUCUCAACUUAACUGUUUAAAUCGGAUCAGAGCCCAGCAAGUGUUGGGUUUUAUCGCAAAUGACCUUGGUGCAAUUAGACGUGUAACCAAGCAAUAUAAGUUGUAAUCAAUGAAAAAAAGAAACUAGACAGAAAUACCUGUUUAAAUAGCUUUUGAGUUCUUCUUUUGAAACAGGAUGACCCUUUGAGAAUGUCAAGGAUAAGGUUCUAUCAUUGUUGUCAACAUUAGGUUGAUACUGAUCAGGCACAUCAUCAUAUGCUUCUUGGGGUGGUAAUAGAGGAGGUUGAGCCUCAAAAAUAUUAUGACCCUGCUGAUGAAGUAAAUAAUUAUGCUGAAACCCUUGUUGUAAUAUUGGAGUCAUUGGACCAUUCAACAAAUUGGUUUGCUGGAAACCACUGGGUAUAUGACCCAAAUAUGGAUAUGAUGGGACUAUAAUUAUAUCCCAAAAAGCUCUGUCGAAGACAUGGUCGAUAAAUCUCCUCAUCUCUUCCCGGGCCUUCUCCUUGUUCUCAAACACAAACUCGAGUGGAAUAUUUUUGGUAAGUAGAAGAAGACACAGUGUUCGAAACUGACUAUCAAUUUCCUCCGACGCCAGAGGAUCAGUGUAAUUUGAGCGCAGAUAGUGUAAGCACAUAAUCGACUCGCAUGCUAAAGCAUACAGGUCCGAGUCAUGUAAGGCUAACGUGGCCGCCAUAAACUUGUAGUGAGUUUGUGUGUCCAGAAAAUACCAAAAGGCUAUGACAAGCUUAGAUUGGUUAGGAUCAAAACGUAAACCCAGCAGUCGAACGUAUAUUGUGCGAUCGAUUGAAUGGAAUAGCUUUAGCUCUUCAAAGGCUCUGUAAGAUGGCAAGUCCAUGAUGAUGUAAGUGCCAGUAACUCUUGGAGCGUUUGCUUUUGAAGGGAAACUCUAUUAUGUGACCCAAUUAAAUUCUCCACGUGCUAAAGGGUUUUGCACUUUUACUAUUGUGUUAGGGUGUCAAUACCCUUUUUAUCCAAAUAUCGACAGGUAAUUCCCAAUCCUUUUUAUUUUGGUUUUUGUAUUCCUUAGUUGUUUGGAUAUUUACCAAGUUUGCAUUUAGCCUUGAGGGUGGCGAAAAUCCUUAUGCUUCUUUCUUAUUCAUUCACACAAUUAACACAAGCUCCAAUUGUCAUGGUUUUUUUAUAUGUUUGGAACUGCGAGACAUGGUGCUCUUCGAGAAACUAGCUGGAAAGAUGUAAACCGGCGUUACUAUUUUGUCCUUUUUAUUUUGAUUUUGUGUAAGAAUUACAAGAAGCUCGCUAGGAGUUUGUUGGUUUUGGAUUCUCUCAUUCUCUCUUUAGGAGAGUUCUUUUAUUUUAGUUUUCUUCUCAGUCUGCUAGAUCUCUUUUAGAUCUAUAUGUGAAGAGGUAAGGUUGUUUGAUUAGCUAGAUCUACUUCAUUUGGUAUACUAGGUUCAUGGUGGUGAUGAGGUAGUCAGGUUGCGGAAAGAGGCCUAAUCGUGGGCCCAGCGCUUAGGGGCUUAGAUAGGAGCCUAGACGGGUUUUUUAGUUUAAUAACAUUUACUAUAUAAUAUAUAAAUAAGCAUUAAAUAAUACUUAUGUCAUGAACAUAAAAUAAAGGUAAAUUAAGAAAAUUCUACAAGCAAUAAUUAUAUGGAGUCCUUACAACCUUUUCUGAAGUCUCUGGAUAGAGGUCACAACUGCAGCAACACCAGUACGGAUUGAAAGACUGGCUUAAUGAGCAAGAGUCUAUGGUUAAGGAGCCUUGCGUACGUGCACUCAAGAAAAGAGAAGACUAGCAGUAUCAGGAGAAAAUUAGGGAUAAUUCUCCCACAAAGAAGACAACCAUACCAUCCACACAAUUUAUACAUACAUUCUUCCCAAUUGCUUAGAGAGCUACUGCCCAAACACCUUGCGUUUCGCAAGUGAUCAAUCAAGUUCAACCUGGAUUGCUUGUUUUCAGUUUGACUAAUCUAUUCUACAUCGACAUUCAAUAAUCGUUCUAAGAAUUUUGGCGGUUAUAUGGAGCUUCACAUAUUAAACUCACAUUAGGUAGUUUUUGCCAAACACUUAUAGAGGGGUAAAGUCGAAUUUGUUCAAGUUCGACACGUCAUUGCAAUGGAGGAAACAAGAUUGUAGUUAGUCUUAUGAAAAGUAAAGAUCCACAGACAUAGAGCUUGUUUGGGUGUGUUUUUGAAAUGAUUGAAAGCGCUUUUGGUGAAAAUGUUUUUGGAACCAAUCUUUAGUAAAAAUGCAAGUCAAUCAUGGAAAAACAUUUAAAGUGCUUCCGGGAAGAAGCACAUAACUGGUGCUUCUUGCAGAAAGCAUUUCAAGUGCUUUUGGAAUCUAAAACAAUUUUCUCUAAAAGCACUUUCAGUCAUUUUAAAAACACAUCCAAACGAGCCUAUAAAGAAGAACAUUCAAGUUCUACAUAUAUGUUUUGGUUUAAUUUUCAUGAAAAACUUCGGAUUUCAUGGGUAUAUGUUUUGUAUGAAAACUUCGGGUUUCAAAGACACUAAAUUUGAAACUACAUAUUCGAUUUUAGAUGAACUUCAAGUUCAUAAAAGGGUACCUACAAGAACACAUAAUACAAUAUACAAUCCUAGUAUAGUAAAUUUGUAGUUGCUUCGAAAACCUAGUAUGAGUAGCUUUGAAACAACGAAAGGUGUCAACGCUUCAAAUAUAAAUAAUAAUGAAUUUAAUCGUUAAUUUACACACUUGAGAUGCUUGAGAUGCUAGCCAGGAUUUUUUUUUUUUUUUUUUUUUUUUUUUUGCGCCAAUAGAUUGAGAGACAAAACAGGAGACUGUCGUGGAAGCAUGAAAAUAUAGACAUUCAGGUCAUAUUGGUUUUGGAUGGCUGCGGGCCGAACAAUUGAGAAAUAGUGCCCAAAAAUGGGCUUAGUCGUGGGCACCUCAACAUGGUUGGGUGCGGGGUGGAAACAAAACAUGCCAAAAAUUUGGCUUGGGCAGAGGAAAGGGACAGGCCAGCAGCAUCGGGCUGAAAAAAAAAGGAAGGUGGCCCAUAAGACAGGGCGGUCCGAGAAGCAGGAGCCCAGCAUGGCAGUUGCAGGCUGCUGGGAGAAGCCCAAGAAGUUGGGUUUGGGCUCAGCUGAGGCAACAAGCCCAAACAUGGGGAUGCAGGUCGAAACACCAAACGGUGUCGUUUUGGAGCAGUGGUCAGAGCUGCAGGCUCGGCUUCAGGCCAAGCCAGGUCCGGCGGCACAGCACCAGGCCACAACUUAUCAUUUUGGUUAAAUCGAAACAACAUAAAUGUUGGAUUAAAUAAAAGAAAUAAUCCUGUUGACUGUGAGCUUAAAUUAAAAGAGUUGGCGCACUUCUAUCUUACCAAUUAAUUUUAAAACAAACUUUAAAAUACCCUUCAAAUUAUAAUACUCCCUCAUUGAAUCCCUGUCUUGCAAAACAUGCUUAAUCAUUUUCUAAACACAAUGACGAGGUGGGACUAAUGUCUGAGGACUCUUUGAGUCUCUAUCUUUCCAUGAAAUAAAUAAUAUUUCCGGUAUGUUAGGCAUGGCAUCCUUUAAUUAUUUGCAAAUUGCAAUACAUGUUUAAGACUUCAUCUUAGUAUAUCAAGGAAUAUUGCCACCUUCUUUCACGGGCAAUAUUCUUCAUGCAUGGUAUGUAGCUUUAAACUAAGUUUAACAAUCAAUUGGUGUGUUUUUAAUCAAUGACAAGAGAUGUUCGAACUUUAGACUUCUCUAGCACGAUAAAAAAAAAAUUACUAAAUCAAUAGUAGUCGACAAAUUUUGACUUGAAACAUCUUUUUAAGUUUGUUCUUUAUAAUUUCUAUUAACAAUGACGGCUCCACUGAAGGGACCUACUGAGCAACUUUUGGUCGGUGGGGAUGAUGGCCUCUACUGAGCAAUGUUUUGUCACGUACUCUUCCUAACGUAGAUUUGAAACCAACUUAGAAUGAAAUGAAUUAUACGCUUUACAAAUAAAAAAGAUUUAAGUAAAAGAGAUGUUGAGUUUUUCUUCCCUCUAUUUCUUAUUAGUGGAGCUUGCAAACUUAUGUACAUUAUAUUUUUUUUAUGUACACAAACAUAAUCUUGAAUCCGCCAAUAAUUUCUAAUGUUGUAUUUGAUAUUGAUUCAUAAAAUAGGCUUCUCAGCUUAUCUAAUGACCAAGUUUUAGAAUUCAUUUAAACCUUUAGAACAUAUCCCAACUUCAAAUCCUUUGUACCCCUAUGGUGUUUGAAAAUUCCUUUCAUCCAUUUGGCUAGAAAUUAUAUUGCUAGUGUUAUACAGUAGUAAAUACUUUAAGCUGAAAGUAGUGGUAAAUUAGCAUGCAAAUAUUUCACAUAAAAAUGCUACAAGAAGCAAAUUGUCACAUCCCGGCCCAGGGCGAACCACUUUCCGGGCCCGCUCCACCACCGUAGCACGAUAUUGUCCGCUUUGAGCCCCAACCACGCCCUCACGGUUUUGUUUAUGAGAACUCACAAGCAACUUCCCAGUGGGUCACCCAUCUUGGGAGUGCUUCGGCCUCCUUCUCGCUUAACUUCGGAGUUCCAACGGAACCCGAAGCCAGUGAGCUCCCAAAAUGCCUCGUGCUAGAUAGGGAUGUGAAUAUACAUUUAAGGAUCACUCCCUUGGGUGAUGUGGGAUGUCAUCCACCCCCUUAGGGGCCCGACGUCCUCGUCGGCACACCACGACCAGGGUUAGGCUCUGAUACCAAAUUGUCACAUCCUGGCCUGGGGCGAACCAUUUCCCGAGCCCGCUCCACCACCGUAGCACGAUAUUGUUCGCUUUGGGCCCCGACCACGCCCUCACGGUUUUGUUUAUGGGAACUCAUAAGCAACUUCCCAGUGGGUCACCCAUCUUGGGAGUGCUUCGGCCUCCUCGCUUAACUUUGGAGUUACAACGGAACCUGAAGCCAAUGAGCUCUCAAAAGGCCUCGUGCUAGGUAGGGAUGGGAAUAUACAUUUAAGGAUCACUCCCUUGGGCGAUGUGGGAUGUCACACAAAUGCAUGCUUUUCAAGUUUUGGACAAAAUGACGUGAGAGUGUUUUAAUUAUUACAUAAAAGUAAAUAAGAUGAAAAGCAAGGUCCAAAUAUGAACAAAUAAAUUCAUUCGCCACAUCAGUUGGUGUCUAAAAAUCUAGAUUUUUUUUUUAAUAAAGACAACUGGUGGAAAGCCAUGGUUACUCACCACUUUCGGGAAUCUAGAGUCUGUUUUGAUGUUUAUAAUAUUUACUCAAUAUUUUGUACAAGUCCCUUCCACGAGCACAUUGUUUUCAUUUUCAUAAGAAGCAUCUAAAGUUUAAGGGGGAAAAUGGAUGAAGACAUGGAUAAUAUUGAAUUGUUUGUGACAUAUUAACGGGAAAAAAAAUUGUCAAGUGAUGAAGUUCUUAAUCAAUGAAAAAAGUAUGAUAACAUGUACGAGAGUAUAUGUUCACAUACAAAAAUAAUAAUUUAAAUUUCUUCACUAAUGGAGGAUGGCAGACGCACGUGGUUUGUGGUCGCGUAGAAUUGAAGGAUUAUAUUUCGACCAAAAAAAAAAAGAAUUGAAGGAUUAUUUAAACCGAUGCAGUGAGUUCAUGUUGAAUAUCACACUUUGAGCUAGCUUAAUUAGUACUUGACCCUCCACCAUGGAUGAGUCCCUCUCCCACACUGAUGCACAUAUCCCAUCAGAUUCUGGUAAAAGACGCGGUGGUUGGGUCACUUUCCCGUUCAUCAUUGGUCUCUCUCUCUCUCUCUCUCUCUCUCUCUCUCUCUCUCACACACACACACACACAACACACACAUAUCCUAACUAAUCAAUUAAUCUGUAUGGUCGAUUUUCAAUUGCAUUGCCUACAUGUGUCUCAUUCUUUACGUGCAGGAUGAGAAUGGACACAGAAAUAAGACAGGUCAUAUAUUUAUGGGCUUCUUUGCGACUGCUUUUGUAAAAUAGUGAUAAACGCUUUUAACAGUGUUUGAUAGAAAUUUUGAGACACGUUUUAUAGAGAAUACUUGCUAGAUGUUUCUUCAGAUAACACUUACAAGUGACACUUGAAAUUUUAAUUAAAAUUUCAACUUUUUCUAAAAAAAGUGUUUCUAGAAAAAACACUCAUGAGUAAUUACUCCCUACAUAAAGCAGUCUCAAAUAGUUGGUUUAUUGAGCAGGGGCUUUGGGAGGCUUGACACUUGCAGCUGGGGGAUGGAUCUCAAAUUUGAUUGUAUUUCUAAUUAAAGAGUUCAAUAUAAACAGCAUUGAUGCAGCCCAGAUCGCAAACGUGGUUAACGGUUCUUUCAGUUUUUUCCCAAUCAUUGGAGCAAUCAUAGCUGACUCUUUCUUUGGCUCAUUCUCCGUUAUCUCAAUAUCGUCAUGCAUUUCCUUGCUGGUAAUAAGAUGUCAAUUUCUUUAGUACAUGCUUUCACCCUAUUUAAAACAUAGAUGAUUUCUGUGGUUAUGGAUAAUACAAUUUCUUGUCAAUUUGAUCUGAGAUCAUGAAGAUUGUUCAUCCACUGAUUAUGUGUAACUGUCGUUUCAGUAUUAAAUUCGCAAGCCAACAAUAUAUCAUGCAAGCUGAUAUAUCAUAUACGAAUGUUUACUAGAUAAUCUCCCAUACAUAUAUGAUCUAGGGUAGCAUUCUAAAUAAUUGAUAAAUUCGUUGCAGGGCAUCGUUCUCUUAGUUUUAACCGCAACGCUGAAUUCGUUGAAGCCUCAACCUUGUGCUACCGGCUCAGAGUUAUGCCAACCGACCUCGGCAUUACAGUAUGCAGUCUUGUACACCGGCGUAACUGUCGCAUCUCUUGGCUUGGGAGGUACCCGCUAUACCUUGGCAACACUGGGAGCCAAUCAAUUUGAUAAGCCUAAGCAUCAAGCAAGUUUCUUCAACUGGUUCUUCUUCACUCUAUACUCUAUUACAGUGGUAGCCCUAACAGUCAUUGUCUACAUUGAAGACAACGUCGGUUUUAAAUGGGGGUUUGGCCUUUGUGUCAUCGCCAACCUAAUCGGAAUGGCCAUUUUCUUCUCUGGAAACCGUUUCUAUAAAUUUGAUAAGCCACACGGGAGUCCAUUUGUUGGUUUAGGUCGUGUUAUUGUUGCCUCUGUUCGGAAAACUAGUCUCCAGCUAUCAUCUGAAAGAAAGGAUUAUUAUUAUGGACAUGAUGGAGUGACACAUGACGGAGUGACAAACAAGGUGGCUGCAGCAACACUUAGCAAGAGUUUCAGGUACAAACAGUAUAGGUUAAUAUAUACGCAAUUUAGAGAUAGAGAGAAAUAUGCACAAUUUCAAAAUCAAAUUAUAUGCUAGAUAGUGUUUUCUUGUCAAGCAAUUACUUAUGAGCAUUUACCUCUAGGCAAGGAGAAAGUUUGGGAUCCGACAAUCGAACCACGUAUCCUUGUGCACCCAAACACAACACCACAUACCUCAACCAUCCUAAUUUGUCAUGCUAAUCUUAUCCCAAUUUAGUCCCACCCUCUCCCUCACACCAACCCCAAUUUGGUUUCCUAACCAAGAACCUCUCCUGCACAAGAAUCAAUAUAAUCAAUAUAGUAGAUUAGUAUAACAAAAGUGCAUUUCUUAUCAUAUGUAUUUUAAUAUUAUUUUUAGUUUGUUGAUCUUUCUUUAAAUUUAGUUUUUCGUUCCUCAAACAGAAAAAAGAAAAACUUCGCCUUUGUCAAUAUGGUACAAUAGUAGAGAUUUCAUUGAAAUACAGGUUAAAUAUAAUAUGAUGGUUUUUACCACCGAUAUCUAUUGCUUUCUAAUUAUAUGUUCAAAUUCAAUCUCGGUCAUAGAGUCAAGUUAUCCAUGUGUGAGAUCAAACGGACACAUGUUAGGCAUAGAAGACUUACAUGUGAAAGGUGUGUUGAGAUUAUUGUGUCACACUAUAGGAGAUGAAAGAGCCUAACUUAGUAUAUGUGAUAAUGAGUCUCUCUACCCACUUCCAGUUUCAUUAGAGGUUAGAAUGUUCGAUCAAAUUUUAUGAAAUUUGACAUUCUUUUCAACCUAUUUUUGGUUCAAUUUGGUAAUUAUUUUUUCUGCUCUUUGCUUGCUUACCGAAGUAAAAUUGAAUUCUGGAAGCGACUAGCUGAGUUGGCUAAAACCAUUUACCAAUGAACUUGAUGUUCCUAGUACCACCCUCUCCCUCACCAUCGCUAUAGUACAAAAAAUAAAAUAAAAUAAAAUAAAGUAAAGUUGAGUUCUAUUUAAACGACAUUAAAAGACUUACUAUUUGCAUGCAGAUUCCUUAACCGUGCAGCACAGAAAAUUGAAGGAGACAUGAAAUCAGAUGGCUCAAUUGCGAAACCAUGGAGCUUAUGCACAACGCAACAGGUGGAAGAUUUCAAGACCGUUAUAAGAAUUUUUCCACUAUGGUCUACAGCUUUAUUCUUAGCUACCCCAAUAGCAAUCCAAUCCAGCAUGUCAGUCCUGCAGGCUCUAACCAUGGACCGUCACAUUGGCCCCCAUUUUACAUUGCCAUCUAGUUCUGUUAUAGUCGUUGUUUUAUUCUCCACAUCCAUUUUUCUAACCCUAAUUGAUAGGUUCUUAUGCCCCAUGUGGCAGAAGUUCACUGGUCAGUCUCUAUCGCCCCUCCAGCGUGUAGGAGUAGGACACAUCUUAACCAUUCUCAGCAUGGCUGUUUCAGCAGUGAUGGAGUCCAAAAGGCUCAAAAUAGUGCAAGAACACCACCUCCAAGACCAGCCCGGUACUAUUGUUCCAAUGUCGAUCUUUUGGCUUUUCCCACAGUUAGUUUUGGUAGGCAU